ensembl:lncRNA
AGGUAGCCUAGUGGUUAGAGCGUUGGGCCAGUAACCAGCAGGUAGCCUAGUGGUUAGAGCGUUGGGCCAGUAACCAGCAGGUAGCCUAGUGGUUAGAGCGUUGGGCCUGUAACCAGCAGGUAGCCUAGUGGUUAGAGCGUUGGGCCAGUAACCAGCAGGUAGCCUAGUGGUUAGAGCGUUGGGCCAGUAACCAACAGGUAGCCUAGUGGUUAGAGCGUUGGGCCAGUAACCAGCAGGUAGCCUAGUGGUUAGAGUGUUGGGCCAGUAACCAGCAGGUAGCCUAGUGGUUAGAGUGUUGGGACAGUAACCAGCAGGCAGCCUAGUGGUUAGAGCGUUGGGCAAGUAACCAGCAGGUAGCCUAGUGGUUAGAGCGUUGGGCCAGUAACCAGCAGGUAGCCUAGUGGUUAGAGCGUUGGGCCAG